rnacentral:rRNA from 1 species
AACGAACGCUGGCGGCAUGCCUAACACAUGCAAGUCGAACGAGACCUUCGGGUCUAGUGGCGCACGGGUGCGUAACGCGUGGGAACCUGCCCUUAGGUUCGGAAUAACUCCCCGAAAGGGGUGCUAAUACCGGAUAAUGUCUUCGGACCAAAGAUUUAUCGCCUUUGGAUGGGCCCGCGUUGGAUUAGCUAGUUGGUAGGGUAAAAGCCUACCAAGGCGACGAGCCAUAGCUGGUCUGAGAGGAUGAUCAGCCACACUGGGACUGAGACACGGCCCAGACUCCUACGGGAGGCAGCAGUGGGGAAUAUUGGACGAUGGGCGAAAGCCUGAUCCAGCAAUGCCGCGUGAGUGAUGAAGGCCUUAGGGUUGUAAAGCUCUUUUACCCGGGAUGAUAAUGACAGUACCGGGAGAAUAAGCUCCGGCUAACUCCGUG